rnacentral:rRNA from 1 species
CAACCAUCACGCGUGUAUGAUGAAGGCCUUCGGGUUGUAAAGUACUUUUGGCAGAGAAGAAAAGGUAUCUCCUAAUACGAGAUACUGCUGACGGUAUCUGCAGAAUAAGCACCGGCUAACUACGUGCCAGCAGCCGCGGUAAUACGUAGGGUGCAAGCGUUAAUCGGAAUUACUGGGCGUAAAGCGUGUGUAGGCGGUUCGGAAAGAAAGAUGUGAAAUCCCAGGGCUCAACCUUGGAACUGCAUUUUUAACUGCCGAGCUAGAGUAUGUCAGAGGGGGGUAGAAUUCCACGUGUAGCAGUGAAAUGCGUAGAUAUGUGGAGGAAUACCGAUGGCGAAGGCAGCCCCCUGGGAUAAUACUGACGCUCAGACACGAAAGCGUGGGGAGCAAACAGGAUUAGAUACCCUGGUAGUCCACGCCCUAAACGAUGUCAACUAGCUGUUGGGGCCGUUAGGCCUUAGUAGCGCAGCUAACGCGUGAAGUUGACCGCC